AAAAUUUUCAACCUUAAAUUUCUUAGGUUUUAAGCGAGAGUGAUGAUGCUCCGGUGGGUUGUAAGGUAGAUGUGGUUAACGAAACUCUCUCGGUAUUCCUCAAGCUACAAGGAAACAUUAACGUAGAAGCUGAACUCCAGAAGCUCAAGAAAAAGAUGGAGGAGAUAGAAAAGCAACGUGAUAGCUUGUUAAAAAUAACUAGUGCAUCUGGCUAUCAAGAAAAAGUUCCAGCUCAUAUCCGUGAAGAUAACGAGGCGAAGCUUGCAUCGCUCUUUCAAGAGCUCUUGUCGUUUGAGGAAGCUAGCGAGCAAUUGGAACGUGCAUCAGGAAAUAACAGAAACUAGAGAAGUAUAUGUAAAUUUUCACGAAAGACUAUAAUUCUUGUGCCUGUCUUAGUUACAAGUGAGUUUGUUUUAACAUAAUGUGUCCUGAGGGAUAGGCUCAUUCAAGACAGACCUGCUAAAGUCGAAACAUUAAUUACUGUCCAGUUUUUCGCAAGAAUUUAGUAUCAAUCAAAUAUAUAUGUUGAAACUUUGACAGCAACAAAAAAGGAGUCAUACAAGAAGGCAUUUUAUUUGAUCA